rnacentral:lncRNA from 1 species
AUGAAUCCAAAGCAAUUUAAUCUGAUAUUAGCCAAAACUCUUAUUAACAAACCAAGAACAGCUGUUGGUUUGCCAGACUGGGGUGUGGCUUGUUUGUGUCCUGUUAAGAUGGCCACGAUGCCUCACCAGAAACACAAAUCCCUGUUACUGGUGGUAGACCUAGCUGUAAAACACUCUUCUGGCAGGAAACUAAUGUAUCCUAAUGAUGAUUUCCAGGAGAUUAAGGUGCUUGUACUGAUGACCAUUUUGGAGGUUGCAUCUCUCAACCUCUUUCACACAGAUGCACGUGGUUAUAUUGUUGUUUGCUCCACAUACCCUAUAGCUUCUUUUCUGUCUGCUGUUAGACUGGAGGAGAGCAGGAUCUGCUAUCUUCUCUGGAGAGCCAGAGGAGCAGAACCCAUUUUGGCCAUGCACUGUCUGGAGGAUGCACAAUGCAGCUAGAGCAGUUACCAAGUCUGCAAAUAUUGGACAAAUUCCAGCCUGCAGGUGCAUGAGGAUUGAUUUUUGACUGGAUACUUAGAGGGGAAAUAAAUGACACUUUUGUAACCCUACUGCUAUCUUU